rnacentral:rRNA from 1 species
UACGUAGGGUGCGAGCGUUGUCCGGAAUUACUGGGCGUAAAGAGCUCGUAGGUGGUUUGUCGCGUUGUUCGUGAAAACUCACAGCUCAACUGUGGGCGUGCGGGCGAUACGGGCAGACUGGAGUACUGCAGGGGAGACUGGAAUUCCUGGUGUAGCGGUGAAAUGCGCAGAUAUCAGGAGGAACACCAGUGGCGAAGGCGGCUCACUGGCCCGGUACUGACGCUGAGGCGCGAAAGCGUGGGGAGCAAACAGG